rnacentral:rRNA from 1 species
UACAGAGGGUGCGAGCGUUGUUCGGAAUUACUGGGCGUAAAGCGCGCGCAGGCGGCCCUUUAAGUCCGUCGGUCAAAUGCCGGGGCUCAACCCCGAGCGUGCCGAGGAUACUGGAGGGCUGGAGACACGUAGAGGCAAGCGGAAUUCCGGGUGUAGCGGUGGAAUGCGUAGAGAUCCGGAAGAACACCGGAGGCGAAGGCGGCUUGCUGGGCGUGAUCUGACGCUGACGCGCGAAAGCGUGGGGAGCGAACAGG